AAAAUCACGCAUUUUACUAUCUUCCCAUUAAAAAGAAUUGUUCCAUCCAAUGCAAGUGGUAAUACACUUCCCUGUUGGAAUAAAAUUCUGUUAGAUUUGUUGUGUCUUUUUAUAGGUAAGAUAGUAAGGUGAGCUUGUAAGUAAUUUGUGGGGUACUCUUGAUGUGCAUAAAACUUCAGUCAGCAGAGGGAGGGUUAUUACUUUUGCUUUUAAUGAGUGAUUUUAGUAACCUACUUCUGCUAAGGUUGAGUUUUACAAUCUCUCCCUUUCUAAGUUUCACUUGUAUUUUUUAUUAUUUGGUCUUCCACGCCAUGGAUUAGUAUGUCAUUCUAAGACUUUAAAAUGUCAUUCUAAGAUUACUGAAGUAUUAAGACGCAUCUGAGCCACUUCAACCUCUUCCCUUUACCUUUAUUCUCUAGCCUGCAUCAUAUUAUAUAGGAUGUGAACUGUAUACUUGCAUUGAGAAAAGUUAUUAAGCUGUCUCUUUUUUUUCCUUUGCAAAUCCAAAAUAAGGAAGUCUUUAGAGAGAGAGAGAUCUAAUCAUGCAAUUAACAGGAAAGAGGUCUUAUGCAAUGAUAGAGAUUGUACCAUUAAGUAGCAGGCAGUGCAGUCCCUGACCCCACGCCUGCUGUUAUCUAGUGGGGUAAUUAGAUGGGUAAUGAUGGAAACCUCGUGUUGUAGAAGAGCAGAAUAGGGACCUGUGCCCCUGACUUUGGAAAUCGAUGUAGCCGUGCUGUCAGCCAAAGUGAGACCUGAUAUCUGAAUAGGAAUUAGCCAGGUGAGAGGAGGGGUGGAAGAGAUGGAGGGAUAAAACAAGCCUGGUCCAGCAAGAGGAGGUAGCAUGACCCUUUCAAAAUAAUAAAUAAAGAGUGGUGGUGCAUGGGGGAAGAAAAGGUUGUAGAAUUAGGCAGGGCAUUGUAAGCCCAGAUAAAAUGAUUGGUUUUCCUCCUAAAAGCAACAGAAACCAUUGAAGGGCCUUAAAUAGAUAAAUUAGAUGAUCAGAUUUGUAAUUUAGAAAGUUCGCUUAUUUGUAAUUAUUGAAUAAUUUAGAAAGAGGAAAGACUAGACAGUAGAAGACCAAUUAGGAGUUUGUAGAAGCUCUUACCUACAGCUAAUGUAGCAGUUGGGUUCUUGUCAUUUUAUUACCACUUGCGUAAAGUGCAUUCGUGUGCGCAUGUGUGUGUAUUCCACUGUGGAGAUAAUUUCUCCAUGGAAACUACGUAGGUGAGCAAAAGAGCUUCACAUUCAAACCUAUAUCCUGCUUUAUUAAGAGUAUGUUUCUGGAUAUGAGAGACACUUACCAUCAUUUAUUUGUUCUGGACAGGGUGCUGGAACUCGUGAUAAGAUAUUGAUCAGGAUUAUGGUGUCCCGUUCUGAAGUCGACAUGAAUGAUAUCAAAGCAUGCUAUCAGAAGUUGUAUGGUAUCUCACUCUGCCAAGCCAUCCUGGAUGAAACCAAGGGAGAUUACGAAAAGAUCCUGGUGGCUCUCUGUGGAAGAGACUAAACAUUCCUUUCACGCUCUCAAGCAUUUUCAUCAGAAGACUUUUUAAGCCUAUCUUUUCAUUCCAUAUCGUAGACAAAUAAGAAAGUUCUUCAACAGGAUUAUAGUCUAGCUAACUUCUUUCUAGAAAAAAUUGCCUAUAAAUCACUUUUAUAUCACGAUUCUGUAUGAUAGAGAUAAGUUUUUUUAAAAAAAAUAUACUUACCCCAAACUAUCAAACCCCAUAAACAGGUUGUUCUGGUACUAUUAGCUGCGAAAGAUGUCUGUGUAGCAGAAAAUAAAAUGAUUUUAUAAGACAA